rnacentral:rRNA from 1 species
AGAGUUUGAUCCUGGCUCAGGACGAACGCUGGCGGCGUGCUUAACACAUGCAAGUCGAACGGAAAGGCCCCUUCGGGGGUACUCGAGUGGCGAACGGGUGAGUAACACGUGGGUGAUCUGCCCUGCACUUUGGGAUAAGCCUGGGAAACUGGGUCUAAUACCGAAUAGGACCGCAUGCUUCAUGGUGUGUGGUGGAAAGCUUUUGCGGUGUGGGAUGGGCCCGCGGCCUAUCAGCUUGUUGGUGGGGUAAUGGCCUACCAAGGCGACGACGGGUAGCCGGCCUGAGAGGGUGUCCGGCCACACUGGGACUGAGAUACGGCCCAGACUCCUACGGGAGGCAGCAGUGGGGAAUAUUGCACAAUGGGCGCAAGCCUGAUGCAGCGACGCCGCGUGGGGGAUGACGGCCUUCGGGUUGUAAACCUCUUUCAGUAUCGGCGAAGCUCCAGGAUUUUUCUUGGGGUGACGGUAGGUACAGAAGAAGCACCGGCCAACUACGUGCCAGCAGCCGCGGUAAUACGUAGGGUGCGAGCGUUGUCCGGAAUUACUGGGCGUAAAGAGCUCGUAGGUGGUUUGUCACGUUGUCUGUGAAAACUCACAGUUUAACUGUGGGCGUGCGGGCGAUACGGGCAGACUGGAGUACCGUAGGGGAGACUGGAAUUCCUGGUGUAGCGGUGGAAUGCGCAGAUAUCAGGAGGAACACCGGUGGCGAAGGCGGGUCUCCGGGCAGUAACUGACGCUGAGGAGCGAAAGCGUGGGGAGCGAACAGGAUUAGAUACCCUGGUAGUCCAA